GUCAAUCCAGAUGCAGAACUCUCUGCUCCUCCAGUACCACAUCUGCUUGCACACUGCCAUGUUUCCCACUGUGAUGAUAAGGGACUAAAUCUCUGAAACUGUGUUUUGCCUGCCUGUAUGUCUGUACAGUAUGGACAUGCAGUGCCUGAGGAAGCCUGAAGAGGGCGUCAGAUGCCCUGGAGCUGGGGUUGCAGAUGUUUGUGAGCUGCCAUGUGAAUACUAGGAACCAAACCUGGGUUGCCUGGAAGAACAACCAGUGCUUUUAACUGCUCAGCCAUUUCUUCAGCUCCAGUGAUCAGGAUUUUGUAGGGUGAGAUAACUGAUGUGUGAUGUGCUAGACAGAACCUGGGCAGGAUCUGUGACUACUCCAAGA
rnacentral:lncRNA from 1 species